AUCCUUUUGUGGUUCAUAAGUGGAUGAUUGAGUGUUCACACACGUGUGUGACAUGUGCCGCCCUCAAACCUUGUUUUACACUGGCACAUUACCUGUCUGAUG